rnacentral:tRNA from 1 species
GGCCACGUAGCUUAAUUGUAAAGCACUAACCUGGCAUACUAGAGGCCUGGGUUUGAUUCCCAGCACCA